rnacentral:rRNA from 1 species
AGAGUUUGAUCAUGGCUCAGGAUAAACGCUGGCGGCGUGCCUAACACAUGCAAGUCGAACGCGGAUUGAGCAAUCAAUCCGAGUGGCGGACGGGUGAGGAACACGUGGGUUAUCUACCUUGAGGUGAGGAAUACCGGCGAGAAAUCGCCGACAAUACCGCAUGGCCUCGGAAACGAGGAAAGCUGAGCGAUCGGCGCCCCAAGAUGAGCCUGCGCCCGAUUAGCUUCGUUGGUGGGGUAAAAGCCUACCAAGGCGACAAUCGGUAGCUGGUCUGAGAGGACGAUCAGCCACACUGGGAUUGAGAACGGCCCAGACUCCUGCGGGGGGCAGCAGUGAGGAAUUUUCGUCAAUGGGGGCAACCCUGAACGAGCAACGCCGCGUGCAGGAAGAAGGUUUUCGGAUCGUAAACUGCUUUUCUUGGGGACGAGUACGGACGGUACCCAAGGAAUAAGCCCCGGCUAACUACGUGCCAGCAGCCGCGGUAAUACGUAGGGGGCAAGCGUUGUCCGGAUUUAUUGGGCGUAAAGCGCACGCAGGCGGUCUUUUACGUUUUGAGUGACAGGUGGUGGCUUAACUGCCACAGGACUCAGAAUACGGGAAGACUUGAGGACUUCAGAGGGAUGCGGAAUUCCAGGUGGAGCGGUGAAAUGCGUAGAGAUCUGGAAGAACACCAAAGGCGAAGGCAGCAUCCUGGGAAGCCACUGACGCUGAUGUGCGAAAGCUAGGGGAGCGAACGGGAUUAGAUACCCUAGUAGUCC